GACGUUAGCUGCAGAAGAAGCACCGGCUAACUCCGUGCCAGCAGCCGCGGUAAUACGGAGGGUGCGAGCGUUAAUCGGAAUUACUGGGCGUAAAAGCGCAUGCAGGUGGUUUGUUAAGUCAGAUGUGAAAGCCCGGGGCUCAACCUCGGAAUUGCAUUUUGAAAACUGGCAAACUAGAGUACUGUAGAGGGGGUAGGAAUUUCAGGUGUAGCGGUGAAAUGCGUAGAGAUCUGAAGGAAUACCGGUGGCGAAGGCGGCCCCCUGGACAGAUACUGACACUCAGAUGCGAAAGCGUGGGGAGCAAACAGGAUUAGAUACCCUGGUAG
rnacentral:rRNA from 1 species